UACGAGGGGUGCAAGCGUUGCUCGGAAUCAUUGGGCGUAAAGGGUAGGUAGGUGGUCUCAUUUGUCUGGGGUGAAAGCCUUGAGCUUAACUCAAGAAGUGCCCCAGAAACGGUGAGACUAGAGUCCUAGAGAGGGUCGUGGAAUUCCCGGUGUAGCGGUGAAAUGCGUAGAGAUCGGGAGGAACACCAGCGGCGAAGGCGGCGACCUGGAUAGGUACUGACACUCAACUACGAAAGCGUGGGUAGCAAACAGG
rnacentral:rRNA from 1 species